UACGAAGGGAGCUAGCGUUGUUCGGAAUCACUGGGCGUAAAGGGCGCGUAGGUGGCGCUGCAAGUCGGUGGUGAAAGCUCGCCGCUUAACGGCGAGUCGGCCAUCGAAACUGCAGGGCUCGAGCACUGUAGGGGCUAAUGGGAAUUCCGGGUGUAGCGGUGGAAUGCGUAGAGAUCCGGAAGAACACCAGUGGCGAAGGCGGUUAGCUGGGCAGUUGCUGACACUGAUGCGCGACAGCGUGGGGAGCAAACAGG
rnacentral:rRNA from 1 species